CUCUUUUUUUUUCUGUUUUCUCAUCUUCUCCGUCAUUCGACGAAAUCCACCACCUCUUCUCUCGGCUUCUCCGUCAGAAACGAUCGACGACUCUGUCGGUCAUCACGGCGUGUCCUCCGUGUUCUCCAUCAGACGAGCACUCGAAACCCACCGAGAUGACAGCAUGAUUUGGAUGCUGAUUACCGCCAGAAGAGGACAGCAUGAUUUGGACGCUGAUUACCGUCAUAAGAGGACAGCUCUCCCACCAAACUCUCUCUUCAAUUCUUCUAUUUUAGAUGCUGUGAAGAGGCAGAUGACUAAGGACGAUGAAAAGCAUCAAAAGAUUUCAACCUGACGUUACCAUAUCAUGGAGAGACUAUUUCAUUAGAGGUAAACUAACUUAAACUAUGUCCUGCACUUCCUUUGGCCAUUACUUCCUGUGUGAUUCAAUAUAUAUGGUAGUGAGAACUUUCUCCAACUUUUACAAUGCAAGGUAUCAAAUGUGAUGACAUUUUUUGCUCACUCUUGAUUUAACUUUAGAAAUACAGAGUUUGACCUGUUUGAAUAUGAGUCAGGUUCGAGUUUUUUUAUUUAAGUUUGAAGGUUCGUAAUCUUCGUUUUUGUAGAUUUUAGUGAUAUGGGUCUAUUAUCAGUCUCAUGUGGGUUAUUUGCUUUUGAAUAUAAACCAUUUUGCAUCAGUUACUUACGGAUGUUGGUUCUGCUCUUUAUGGUA